GGAAAGCUGUGGCUCAAUGGUAGAGCAGCUGCUUUUUAUGCAGAACAUCCCAGGUUUGAUCCCCAGCACUUCCA